rnacentral:lncRNA from 1 species
CUCUAGUGGCCUCAAGGUGGAACUGACUUCUCUUAGGAUCUCCCCUGGGACCCUACAGCAAGAAUCCUCUUCCUAAAAUGGAAGAAUUUUGUAAUUCUUGGUGAAAACACAUGAGAAAGUAAAGACAGGAAGAGAAAACAGGGAAAGAGAAGAUGGAGGCCAAGAUACCAUGGGGAUUGGCCAAGAGGAUAUUCAGGGCGGAAAGAUGGAAGUCAAGCCCUCAGCAAAGAAAUACGUGAAGCCAAGGACGAUCAUGUGCAUUGCUUCCCGCUGUCUACAAUGCAGGCCUCAGGCCCUCCCAGAGACAGAUUCAAACAAAAAUAUCCGUUAAAGCACCCACCACUGGAAAGCAGGAAGGAGAAGAUGAAGGAGAGGACAGAGGGAGAGGCUUCACUGGAGAAACGGCUCAGGAUGAAGUUUCUAAAUGUUCCUGGUGAUGCGGGCUGCUUUCAUUCCUACUGACGGUGACUCUGGGGAGCAGGGCUCUAACUAUCCCCCAGGGAGGCCUCAGGAACCAGUCCUUGUUCCCAAGAGCAUCUCUGCCGCCUAACUAACUAGCUGCGUGCCUUUAUGAAGGAAUGAGAUGUCUGGGUAGCUUUGGAAGUAGGAUUAAAAAAAAUACCAAUGGGAGAUUGCAUUUUUUAAAUUAAGUAUUCAUGUUCUGGGUUGCAUCUUAGUCUGCAAUUAAACGAGGGAGAGUAGGGAAGGAAUGGUGAGAUUCAAUCCAAAGCAACAAACAUUUAUAACAUUUAUGAAGUAUCUAGUAUGGUCAAAGACUGAUGAGAGAUGGAAAGAAAAAAAUUGUAGUGAGACGAGACAAAUCAAUGAUUUUGUGAGAAUGUGUGGGUGAAGUACCAACUCCCAACGAGGUAGUGCUGAACAAUGAUGAUUGGAUAAAAUUCAGGAGAGAGAAACAGAAACAGAGAAAGAGAGACAGAGAGAGACAGAGAUAGAGAGAUAGAGAGACAGAGAGACAGAGAGAGGAUCCAUAGACCAAAGCCCGGGAAACUAGAAGGUGGCAGAGCAAACCCAGCCUACGUGCAGGCUGUGUGUGUGGGGGAUGAAAUUCCAUUGUAUUAAUGUAAUUGGUAAGCUGGCCUGUGGUGGCCAUUCUUUGGAGCCUGUGCUGAUAUUUCAUGCCUGCUUUUAAUUGACCAUGUGGAAUCUUGGAAGAAGGAAGCCUACUUCUGGCCAUGCAUGAUAAGGAUCUUGUCUUGUGUGAUGGUGAAGCCUCUCCUAAUUGGUCCCUGAGCCAGAAUAGCUGAUGACAGUGGAUGACCUACAAAAAAGCAUCCUUCUCCUCCACCUGUCAUCUCUUGAGAUCCAGCUGUGGAUCAUGUAGAAAACAUGGACCAAAAUAUUUGUAGAAGCACAUUUUGUGGUAGGAAAAAAAAAGCAAAAUGGAUGUGCAUUGAUUGGGGAAUGACUGAACAAACUGCGGUAUGCAGAUAUUCCAUUGAAUAUUAUUGUACCGUAAGAAACAAUACGUAUUAAAAAUUCAUAGGACCUCGGUAAGACUUGUGUGAACUGAUGUAUCCCAAACUAAGAACAAUGAUUAGAAUAAUGUAAAUGAAAACAAUUCUAGAAAGCAGGCAAACUCAGAUUAAUUGUAAUGACUGGAUAAUGAAGAUCUUCCUCUUCUCAUUUAAGAGGUGGAGAGAAGGAAUAAACAUUUAUUAAGCACCUACUAUGUGCCA